GAGGGUAUAGCUCAGUUGUAGAGCACAUGCUUAGCACACAUGAGCUCCUGGGUUCAGUCCCUAGUCCCUCCA
rfam:Camelus ferus unplaced genomic scaffold scaffold1185, whole genome shotgun sequence.